rnacentral:rRNA from 1 species
CAGUGCACUUUUCCAGUCCAGGCCAGCAUCAGUUUUCCCCGGGGGAUAAAGGCGGCGGGAAUGUGGCUCUCUUCGGGGAGUGUUAUAGCCCACCGUGUAAUACCCUGGGGGGGACUGAGGUUCGCGCAUCUGCAAGGAUGCUGGCGUAAUGGUCAUCAACGACCCGUCUUGAAACACGGACCAAGGAGUCAAAAUCAACCAAGGAGUCAUCACGGGGG